GACUGGAUCAUCGCCGAUCCGAUCUGCACCUUCAUCUUCUCAGUAAUCGUGUUCUCCACCACGAUCGGUGUGCUCAAGGACGCCCUCAGAGUGCUGCUCGCCGCCACACCUCCCGAACUGAACCUCCAUGACAUCUCUGCGGCUCUGCUCGACGUUCCUGGCGUGGUGGGCCUGCAUGGACUGCGAGUGUGGGCGCUCAGCAUGGAUACCAACGCCGUCAUGGUGCACCUGGAGAUCAAGUAUUACGAAGACGGCGCAGCUGCUCUCGAAAAGGCCACAGACGUCCUGCGGAACAAGUUCCACUUCUACGAGAUCUGCGUGCAAGUGGACACCUUCACGAACAGCAUGAACCACUGCACGAUCUGCAACGAAAACAAAGAGGUCACCACGCGGCCGGGCACUGUGACCGUCUGAGGCGGGGCACCACCACCACCACCACCGCCGCCGCCGCCGCCACUGCGAACUACCGCCAGUUUCAGUCACUAAGAGGAGUCAGUGUGUAGCGCCGCCGGGGUCCGCCAGUCCACAGCGUGCGCUCCAGAGCAGGUGCCAUCAGCGAUUGAUCCAUCUUUGGCAGUCGGCCUAACUCAGUGGUUGUCUAUGAACAGAGCCGUCCACUGUGGCAGCUAUUUACCCGCAGAGCCGUCCACUGUGGAAGUCUAUUUACCCAUAUCACCGUCCACGACUCUAAUAUUUUUAUCACAUAGCCGUCACUAGUGUCAGGUCUGUGUGUAUUGUCGUCCACAAUGAUCAAAUAAAUGAGGCCCUCUGUGGUGUCUACGAAGCUCCCCGUCUACAACAGCUGUCUUUUCUAUAGGAUUAUCGUUCACUUUAGCCAUUUAGCCAUUAGCCGUCUGCUGUAGCUGUAGCCGUCUUCAGCCGUUUAUUGUAAAUGUCUCCUGUAGGCAUUUACAAUAGCCGCCUGCUUUAGCUCUCUAAUUUAGCCGUCUGCUGUAGGCAGCUGUCUACAGUAGCCGUCUACAGCAGCCUGUCAACAGUAGCUGUGUUUUGUAGCCGUCUUCUGUAGCCGCCUGCAGUAGCUGGUCUUCAUUAUCCGUCUGCUGUAGCCGUCUGCUGUAGCUGUCCGCUGUAGCGUCUACAGUAGCCGUCUACUGUAGCCGUCUACUGUAGCCGUCUGCUGUAUCCGUCUGUUGUAGCCGUCUGCUGUAGCCGUCUGUUGUAGCCGUCUGUUGUAGCCAUCCGUUGUGGCCGUCUACAGGAGCCGUCUGCUGUAACCGUCUGCUACAGCCGUCUUCUGUAGCUGGUCUGCAAUAGCCGUCCACGGAAGCCGUCUGCUGUAGCCGUCUACAGAGCCGUCUGCUGUAGCUGUUAACAGCUGUUGUAGACAUCUGUGGUAUCUACUACAGCCAUCUACUGUAGCCGUCUUUGGCUGUGGGCGUCUAUGACCCAUAUGGUCCGCUACUCGUAUGCCCGUCUUCGGCCGUCUAUGGUCGUCUUUGGCCGUCUGGAGUGGCCACCUGCCGUCUGGCGCCCGCCCUGGUUGUGUUUUAAAUGUGGAUGUCGUCUGAGGCAUGUGAAAUGUAAAUGAGACCUGUCGUCUACUACGACCGACUAAUUAUAAAUCGCUGUGGAAUUUCUUACUGUGGUCAUAAGUAUUAUGUAAUUGUUAAACUUCUUGUUUUCAAGCGAUCUGUACGAAUAUUUUCGAAGCUGAAGCGUUUAUAUGAUGUCAACAAUAACAUCACCGAUGACGCAUUGUUAACUUUGAGGUGUACUGUAGUCGAUAAGCGGUGAACUUCAGACGGCAAAUAAGCGUCACUUUUGAUCUUGAACCGUAACAUUUGUGCCAUGCUUUUGACGUAAGGCUGGCAAGCAUCGACGAUCUUACACUGUGGCCAAUGCAUUUAUAAAUCACGUGUCGAGUGCGUGCUCUUUAUGGAAUGAUAUGAUGUUGCGAACAUGUGAUAGCCUGAAUUUGCAUAUGUCCGGCAAUGAUGUAAUCAUAAGUCGAAUGUAUUUCAUUGCUCAAGGUAGGAAAACUAAAAUGAGUGAGGAGACAAACGACCGGUUAUCAUAUUUGCUCAAAUAUUGUCUUGCAAAGUUUCGGCAGCGUUAUUGAGAACAAAAAUUGCGUUGCGCAAAACAUUACUCGGAUAUGUAUGUGUUUGUCCUAACUGGUGAAGGUUUAAAGCAUUGAAACAACUGAUAUUAUUGUUA